rnacentral:rRNA from 1 species
ACGUAGGAUUCAAGCGUUAUCCGAAUUUACUGGGCGUAAAGCGCGUGCAGGUGGUUUGGUAAGUUGGAUGUGAAAGCUCCUGGCUCAACUGGGAGAGGCUGUUCAAAACUACCAGACUAGAGGACGGUAGAGGGAGGUGGAAUUCCCGGUGUAGUAGUGAAAUGCGUAGAUAUCGGGAGGAACACCAGUGGCGAAGGCGGCCUCCUGGACCGUUCCUGACGCUCAGACGCGAAAGCUAGGGGAGCGAACGGGAUUAGAAACCCCGGUAGUCCUAGCUGUAAACGAUGUAGACUUGGUGUCGGUGGGGUAAAAGCCAUCGGUGCCGAAGCUAACGCGAUAAGUCUACCGCCUGGGGACUACGGCCGCAAGGUUA